rnacentral:lncRNA from 1 species
AUUGUGUUGAGACCUCAUAAUCUGCACCUUGAUGUUAGUGCUCAUAUUAUUCACCGCACCGCACGCUCACCUUGGAUCCAAGUAGGUGCAUGUCGUACAGACCAUGUGAGGGUUCCGACAUGCUAGUCGUACAGACCACUGAGGUGGUUCCAACUAGUAGGUGACUUUCGAUUAUAUGCGCAGAUCAUUGAUGAGAGGAGCAUUAGAGCGUAUUAUUUUACCAUCUUUGUCGUACAGACUGCUAUAUGUAGUUCCGACUUAUGUUCAGCGUGGUGCCGUACAGGUCCCAAUUGGUGACUCCGGCAGGGCCAUACAGGUCACCGUUGGUGACUCCGGCUGGAUGGAAUAUUAAGCUAUGGUAUCAGCCGUACAGGACCAUUGUGGGGUCUCCGGUUGAUUUAUUAUUUUCACCUGACUUAUAUUGAUGCAUUUAUAUUGUAUUUUGGCAUGUGGCAUGGCAUGGCAUGGUGUAUUCUUGCUGAAAAGCGUUGAAGGAUUGUGAUUUGAACUUUUGGUGUUAUAUAUAGGACUAUAUGCUAUUUUUCUGGGAAAGUAUACAGGUUUUUCGGUGAGGGUUAGACGUGUUUUAAAUAAAUGUUUUGGAAAGAUUUGGUUUUACUGACCCACUCAAUUUUGUUUUUGCGCCCCUCCAGGUUCUAGCUAGCAGUUGGCGGCUCACGAGGUUCUUUUCGGCAUUCUGACAGACACUCUACAUGUAGGACUCACCUGCGGGUGUUGUACUUUAAUUAUAGUCCUACUUGACUGCACCUAGUACCUUCGCUCUGAAUUGUGUGUUUACUUUAUAACUCGCUCUAGUAUGCUAGUUGAAUAUUUCUGCUAGUUGUUGGUAUUAAUCUUUCAUAAUUCUUAUUUCCUUGCUUCUGUAUCGCACUUAUGGUUACGUCAUGCUCACGUGGCGGCCAGCACACCCUGAUCCCAGGAUCGAGGUGUGUCAUUUUGGUAUCAGAGCCUAGGUUGCAGUCCUGUAUAAUUGUUAAUGCUCUAAUGAUCUUUUGAUGUUUUCUGUCAGAAUUAUGCCGCCUCGUAGGGAGUCACGCCGUGCUUCUGAACCUAAUUUCCCCGAUAUAACUCAGUUAGGGGAAGCGAUGGCUCAGGCCUUUCAGAAUGCAAUCCGCCCUCCUCCUCCUCCUCCUCAGAGGACACCCCUGGAGACUAUGUAUAAUCUGAAAUUGGAUCGUUUCAUGGGUAAUGAGGGUCAUGAAGGGGCUGAAAAAUGGCUAGACCAUAUUGAGAUGACUUUUCAGGUGAUGCAGAGUCAAGGGAACUUUCCUGGUAAUAGAUGGGUUGAGACCACUACUUGGUUUUUGGGACGAGAGCCGGCAAGUUGGUGGAAAAAUCAAACUCAGUUUAUGUCCCCUGAGAUGGCAACUGAUUGGGAAGUAUUUAAGGAGCAUUUUAAGAAAAGAUUUGUCCCUCCUGAGUACAUUGAUCGCAAGAAGCAGGAAUUCACUCGAUUAAAGCAAAAGAAUAUGUCAGCACAUGAGUAUUACAGGAAGUUACAGACUUGUCUCGUUAUGAUCCUGAUACAGCUGGUAAUCAGGUAGAGAUGCUUCGUCGAUUUAAGCUGGGAACUAAGAGGAAAUGGCGGACUUUUGCUAGUGCACUUCCUUGUAAUGAUUAUCAUGAAUUUUUCUAGAUCUUGGUUCGGAUGGAGGAUUCCGAUAACCUUCCUAGUGACAGUGAGGAUGAUGUCCUGAUACAGCUGGUAAUCAGGUAGAGAUGCUUCGUCGAUUUAAGCUGGGAACUAAGAGGAAAUGGCGGACUUUUGCUAGUGCACUUCCUUGUAAUGAUUAUCAUGAAUUUUUCUAGAUCUUGGUUCGGAUGGAGGAUUCCGAUAACCUUCUUAGUGAUAGUGAGGAUGAUGAGGACAAGAAUGAUGGUCAGAAGAAAGAUGAUAAAGGCAAGGGUAUCUCCAUUUCGGGACCCCGUAAGACGCAAAAUUUCAAGAAAAGUGGGGUGAGUUCAAGUUCUUCCAGUGGGGGAUUUAGUGUCACCGGCCCGAGGAGAGGUGGAAGAUUUGCUGGCGGGCCCAGAUUUCAGAGGCAGAGAGAUUUUAGUGGUGCUAGUGGUUCUGGUGCCCCGUUGUGCCGUUGUUGUAACUUCAGACAUCAUGGUGAGUGUAGGAGGAAUAGUGGGGCAUGCUACACUUAUGGACAAAUGGGACAUCGAGCGGCACAGUGUCCUCAGAGUCAGCAGAGGCCUCAGCAGCCUGUUAUGCCACCUCCAGCACCGACUCAGCAGAGCUUUGGUUCAGGCAGUUAUGGUCAGACGGGUCGUGGUGGUGCUUACCAUUAUCAGGGUGAUGCUGCUCCCUAUGCUACCGGACAGUAUCAGUUUUCUCAGGAUCCUUAUUCUCAGAGUGGGUAUUCCCAAGACCCUGGGGGUUAUCCUUCCUAUUCUUCCAUGCCAGCUAGUGGAUCUCAGUGGCACCAGGGAGGUCAGCCCCGACGGGGAGAGGUAGCUGCCAAUGGUACAUGAUCAUCUAGGCAGUCUAAUUAGUCAGGUCAGGGACGUACUUCUCAGGGACGAGGUAACCAAGGCAACAGAGGUCGUGGUGGACGACAGCAGGCUCAGGGACGUGUUAAUCAUAUAUCACUGCAAGAUGCUCAGAACCAUCCAGAUUUGAUCAUGGGUACGUUAAAUGUUCUUGGUCAUUUUGCUAGAGUUUUGAUUGAUUGUGGUGCUACGCAUUCUGUGAUUUCUCAUACGUUUGCUCAAAUGACUCAACCUCACCCUUCACCUCUAGGAUUUGAUUUAGAGUUUGCCAUGCCUAUAGGGGACAAGUGUUAUGUUGAUAGUGUGUAUCUUGGGUGUCCAAUGAUGGUAGAGGGCGUAGCUAUGCUAGCUAAUCUUAUUCCAUUAGAUAUUGUGGAUUUUGAUGUAAUUCUCGGGGCAGAAUGGUUGCAUUAUCAUCGUGCCCAUAUUGAUUGUUACGGAAAAUCAGUUACUUUUUAUCGCCUUGGACUAUCCGAGGUUACUUUUGUGGGGGAAAGAAGUGGGGUGAGACAUGGCGUUAUUUCUGCCAUAAGAGCAAGGAAGUUAUUAUCGAAGGGUUGCCAAGGAUAUUUAGCACAUGUGGUGUUAAAUGAUGUUGUUCCUAGCAGUGUAGAAGAAGUUGGUGUGGUCAGGCACUAUCCUGAUGUAUUUCCCGAUGAUUUGCCGGGAUUGCCGCCAGACAGAGAUGUGGAAUUCUCUAUCGAUUUGCUCCCAGGUACAGAUCCUAUAUCUUUAACUCCAUGUAGAAUGGCUCCAGCUGAGUUGAGAGAAUUGAAAAUUCAGUUACAAGAAUUACUUGAUAAAGGUUUCAUCCAACCUAGUUCGUCACCUUGGGGAGCUCCAGUAUUAUUUGUGAGAAAGAAAGAUGGAACUCUGAGAUUAUGCAUUGAUUAUAGGCAAUUGAACCGGGUAACAAUUAAAAACCGUUAUCCAUUGCCUCGCAUCAAUGAUCUGUUUGAUCAGCUGAAAGGUGCGUGUGUAUUCUCUAAGAUUGAUUUGAGAUCUGGUUAUUAUCAGUUGAAGAUUAAAGAUGAAGAUGUACCUAAGACGGCUUUCAGGACCCGUUACGGACAUUAUGAAUUUCUAGUUAUGCCAUUUGGAUUGACUAAUGCACCUGCAGCUUUCAUGAGGUUAAUGAACAAGGUAUUCCAGCAAUAUCUUGAUAAAUUUGUUAUUGUUUUUAUUGAUGAUAUUCUGGUAUACUCCAAGUCUAAAGCAGAUCAUAUUCGACAUCUUAACUUGGUAUUAAAGAAAUUGAGAACAUCAGUUGUAUGCCAAGUUCAGUAAAUGUCAGUUUUGGUUGAUGGAAGUGGCAUUUUUGGGGCAUGUUGUAUCGGCACAAGGAAUUCAAGUAAAUCCUCAAAAGAUAGCAACAGUGGAGAAUUGGGAACAAUCUCGAACUGUCACUGAGGUACAAAGUUUUCUUGGGUUGGCAGGUUAUUAUCGACGGUUUGUUCAGGAUUUUUCUAUGAUUGCUUUGCCAUUAACGAAGUUAACCAGGAAGGAUGUUAAGUUCGAGUGGGAUGAGAAUUGUGAACGGAGUUUCUAGCAAUUGAAAUAUUGCCUCACUCAUGCUCCAGUAUUGGUACUUCCUGAUGAUAGCGGUAACUUUGAGAUUUACAGCGACGCAUCUUUGAAUGGUUUGGGAUGUGUUUUGAUGCAACAUAAUAGAGUGAUCGCCUAUGCUUCUCGACAGUUGAAGAAUCAUGAAAGAAAUUAUCCUACUCACGAUCUUGAAUUGGCAGCCAUUGUUUUUGCUUUGAAGAUUUGGAGGCAUUAUCUCUAUGGUGAGAAAUGUAAGAUCUUCACAGAUCAUAAGAGUCUUCAGUAUUUAUUUACUCAGCAUGAUCUUAAUCUUCGUCAGCGAAGGUGGAUGAAAUUGCUAAGUGAUUAUGACUGCACUAUUGAGUAUCAUCGGGGUCAUGCUAAUGUGGUAGCUGAUGCACUGAGUAGGAAACCUCAAGGUCGUCUCUAUGCUUUCUAUGCUUGUCGUGUUCCCCUUCUUGCAGAACUGAGGGCAACUGGAGUAAAGUUGGAGUUGGAAGAUCGAAGCGAAGCUUUUCUUGCUGGUUUUCAAGUCAGGCCAGUUUUGGUUGAUCGUAUACUCGAAGCUCAUACGGUGGAUGAAGAAAUUCAAGAAAUGGUUCAAUUAAGAAAUGAAGGGAAAAAGAAAGACCUCAGGAUUCGAGAAUCGGAUGGCAUGCUUAUGCAGGAGAACAGAAUGUAUGUGCCGAAUAAUGAGGAAUUAAAGAAAGAAAUUUUGGAUGAAGCGCAUUGUUCAGCUUAUGGGAUGCAUCCAGGAGGAGCCAAGAUGUAUCAUACCAUUCGACCAUUUUAUUAUUGGUCGGGUAUGAAAAGGGAAAUUACAGAGUAUGUAAGUAGGUGUAUUGUUUGCCAGCAAGUCAAAGUGGAAAGAAAGAAGCCUUUUGGGCGAAUGCAGCCACUUCUCGUUCCUCAGUGGAAAUGGAAAAUAUAACUAUGGAUUUCGUGUAUAAGCUUCCUCGUACACGAAAUGGAUUUGAUGGUGUUUGGGUGAUUGUGGAUCGCCUUACCAAGUCAGCGCAUUUCAUUCCAGUGAGGGAAAAGUAUCCCCUGAAUAAAUUGGCUAAGUUGUUCAUCAUGAAGAUUGUGAAGUAUCAUGGAGUUCUAGUGAAUAUUAUUUCUGAUCGAGAUCCAAGAUUUACUUCUAAGUUUUGGGUAGCUUUUCAGGAAGCUCUUGGUACAAAAUUGCUUUACAGCACUGCUUAUCAUCCUCAAACUGAUGGUCAAUCAGAGAGGACUAUUCAGACGUUGGAUGAUAUGUUGAGAUCUUCAGUGUUACAGUUUGGGGAUUCCUGGCAUGACCGUCUAGACUUGAUGGAAUUUGCCUAUAAUAAUAGUUUUCAUUCAAGCAUUGGUAUGUCGUCGUUCGAGGCACUUUAUGGUAGAGCUUGUCGUACACCAUUGUGUUGGUCGGAGGUUGGUGAAAGAGUGUUGGAAGGCCCAGAGAUUGUAGAUGAGACUACUCAGAAUAUUCAGGUGAUUAAGUCUAACCUGAAAGCGGCCCAGGACCGACAGAAGAGCUUAGCGGAUAAACAUGCCACCGAUAGAAUAUAAUGUGGGUGAUUUUGUAUUUUUGAAAUUAUCGCCUUGGAGAGGUGUGGUAUGUUUUGGAAAGAGAGGAAAGUUAAGUCCCAGGUACAUAGGACCUUAUGAGAUCACUGAGAGGGUCGAUGAAGUUGCUUAUAGAUUGGAGUUGCGUCCGGAGUUAUCUAAGGUACAUAAUGUGUUUCACGUCUCGAUGCUUCGACAUUAUGUUUCCGAUCCUUCACAUGUGAUUCCUCCUCAACCUUUAGAGAUUAAUCCGGAUUUGACGUAUGAUAAGGAACCAGUGACUAUACUGGAUUGGAAGGAUAAGGUUAUAAGGAAUAAGACAGUGAGCUUGGUAAAAGUAUUGUGGAGGAACCAUUCUGUAGAAGAAGCUACUUGGGAAAUGGAAGAUCGAAUGAGAGAGAUGUACCCAAGGUUAUUCUAUGGGUAUUAAGCGGAUUAUUUGGUCGUAUGAAUUUCGAGGAUGAAAUUCUAUAAGGAGUGGAGAUUGUCACAGUCCGUCCCGAGAUUUUCAUAUCAGGGACGUGAAAUGACGGAAUUACCCUUGAAAGGAAUUAAGGUAUGUGUGUGUGUGGCAUAUCUUGUGGGCUAAAUACAAUUAUUUCAUAAGAUUUUAUAAGAAAUUAUUAAGUUGGAUUAAAUGAGUUUGUGAAUUGUGUGGUUAGGGAUGAAGUUGAAUGGAUGGUGAGGAUUGUGUUGGAUCACACACACACACUUCCUUCAUCUCUCUUCCUCCCUCGUGUCUCUCUCUCUCUUCCCUCACGACUCUCUCUCACUCUCUAACCCUCGAACUGUACAGACGAGACCAAAUUCCUUCGAACUUCCACGGAUCGAAGCUAAAAAGGUAUGGUUCUUCAUCCUUUCGUCGUCCUGAGUUGAAUGGUGCUAGUUUUAGGACGUGAAACCUUCGAAAUCACGUGAAACCCGAACCCCAAUUUUAUGUCUCUGUUCAUACAAUCGUGUUAUGUUGAUUUCCAGGGAAUUCUAAGUUCACAGUGAGCUUAGUGAGGUCCUAAGGAAGCUCGGGGACGUUCGUUUGGAAGUUUUGGACGUCGGGAUCGUGUAGUUCGAAGUUGGCCGAUUUCUUUGAAUUUCUUCGGUGAGAUUUCGUGAUUUUUAGAGCCUUAAAGUAGUGUAACGUGAAACUACAUGUUUAGGGCUUCAUUUUGAUAUAAAAUACGAAGAAAAUGGUUAAGAAAUGACGGAGAACAAGGCGUUUGAAAAAUGCCCAGAAUCUGGCCACUGAAAAAACCAGUCCGGCGACUGGUUGAGGAAGGAGACGCGCGUGGGGACGCGUAGGUCCGUGCCACCCACGGCGCGUGGGGGAGCGUGACAAGCCCAAAAUUAAUUCUAAAAAUUUGUCGACGUCCGUGACGUCGAGUAGGUCACUGUGGUAUAUUCAUAUACCCAAAUUGAGCACCGUAUGAGAAGUUAUUUCGAAUUAUCGGUUAUGUGCAUUAAUUAACGUUUUUAUAGUUGUUUCGCAUAUAGGUGACACCUAUCCCGAGGACGAGCGCAUCUAGGGACGUCACGGGGGUUACGACCCAUCGACUUACCAGUGAGUGGGCAGUUUUGUUUUUCGUAUUACCUAUAUACUAUUAAUUCUCCCAGAACUUUAAUUUAUAUGAAAGUAAGUUUCAAUUGCCAUGCAUGCAUAGUAUGAAUAUUACGGGAUGAUGUUAAUGCAUAUAGAUAUGUGUGUGAAUUGGUGUUGUGGACGCCCAGGUGAGUUUUAUGGAAAUUAUGUGAAUCACUGAUAAUGUGAAUUGUGUUGAGAACUCAUAAUCUGCACCUUGAUGUUAGUGCUCAUAUUAUUCACCGCACCACACGCUCACCUUGGAUCCAAGUAGGUGCAUGUCGUACAGACCAUGUGAGGGUUCCGACAUGCUAGUCGUACAGACCACUGAGGUGGUUCCGACUAGUAGGUGACUUUCGAUUAUAUGCGCAGAUCAUUGAUGAGAGGAGCACUAGAGCGUAUUAUUUUACCAUCUUAGUUGUACAGACUACUAUAUGUAGUUUCGACUUAUGUGCAGCGUGGUGCCGUACAGGUCCCAAUUGGUGACUCCGGC